GACAGAGGAGCCAAGCGUUGUCCGGAUUGACUGGGCGUAAAGCGCACGCAGGCGGAUGCGCGCGUGGGGUGUGAAAUCUGGCCGCUUAACGGCCAGGCGCCAUCCCAUACGGCGCGUCUGGAGUGAUGCAGAGGUCGAUGGAAUUGCCGGUGUAGUGGUGAAAUGCGUAGAGAUCGGCAGGAACACCCAGGGGGAAACCAGUCGACUGGGCAUCUACUGACGCUGAUGUGCGAGAGCGUGGGGAGCGAACCGG
rnacentral:rRNA from 1 species